GACACCCGCCCCUGCCGCCCUGGCCCUGCGCCCGCUCCCGCCUCCCCCGCUGCUGGGGUCUCCUCGGCACUCGCUGCUCCAGACUCGGGGUGAAGCUCUUGCCUGCGGGAGCCCAGUUUCUUCAGGAGCCACCCGGAGCAAGAGGGAGACUGUCUCCUCCAGGCGGAGAAAGAGCAUCCAGAUGCUUCCACGCCCCAGGGCCCUGUAGGUAGAGUGGGUCACAUGGAGAUGCCCCUGCAGUGGGAACCAGUGUGUCCAAGGUGGCCACCUCCUCGAGCCCUAUUGGACCUGCGUGGGAAGAGCAGAGCCAGUGAAGCCCAGGCACAGAGGAGGCUCUUUCCUUAGUGACACCCCCCCGAGGAGUGCUGCUCGGACUCAGAUGCGACAAAGUGCAGAUGGAAACCAGGAAGACCUACCGAGGCAUCACUCGCUGGCGGGUGCUUCACAAGUCCCAUUGCCCUACCGGCCCUUCACCUGCUCUGCUCCUGGGACUGCUGUGCUUGCGGACAUCUGUGCUCCACGUCUAUGUUCUCAUGCUGCUCCUGGCCCCUCUGGCUGGGCCCAACCCCUGACCCCUCUCCAGGGCUUUGGCCUCCGCUGCUGUGCUCAUUUCACUAUGGCCACUGAGUGGCUGCCCUGGAGCGGGGAAGUGAAUUCUAGGGAGGUGCUGGUGAUCAUCUAAUCCCCAGUAGGGUGAACGCUGCUCUUGUGUUUUCCUCUGAAGGGUGCACAGAAAUAGCAACAUUUUAAAAUCCUAUUAAGGAUUCUUCUAGCUCUGGCCUUGUAGCCUCCAAGGGUGGACUGGGAAUGGUUUUCAUGGCCCAGUGUCUCUGCAGGGCCACCGGUGAGCUGAACAAGAGGCGCCUUCUUGGGGUUAUUUGGGUGGUGCUGGAGAGCUGGGAGGCUGGGCUGGAUGUCUUCCUAAUGCUUUCCUGGCCCCCCUCCAGGUGGGGGCCUGGAAAAGUAGUGUUGGGGCCCAGAGCUUGCUCCUGCAGGGGGCCUGGAAGCGAUGUGGUGUUGGGCCCCCAUGCCUCCCACAGCACGGGCCCUGACUGGAGGCCAUGCUGGGCUUCCAGGCAUCUGGCAUCAGGGUCCCUGAGCUGGAAACCGAGCUCUGAAUGCUGGCGUCCUCCUGCGGGAUGCCUUGCCCGGAGGUGGUGGUGGGCUUCUGGGCGUCCUGCUUCGGGGACAGUCCCACCCGCAAUUUCUCAGGCCCCGAGACCUCAGGCUGCCAGUGGUCCUCCGGUAUCGGGGCACAGUGGGCCCCAUCAGGACUGAGGAGCUUUGGGGAGAUGGUGGGGUCUGGCCCCUCCUCGUCCACCCGCUGCCUGGAAAGCAGCUUGAGGAAGGUCCCCAUCACAGGGUCAUACCUGCCCUCCAAAAGCGCCCUGUCGAUGACCUCUUUCCAGAACCCCAGGCGGACCAUUGCUUCCAUUGUGUCCUUGUGCUGGCCCUGGGAGGGCUCCCGGCAGGGGAGUCCAUUUGUCAGCCGCACCCAGGGGUGCUGGAUGACACUGUCCAGGUUGCUGCCACUGAGGGGGUCAAGCUCAUCAUCUUCCUCAGCAGGUCCCGGCACACUGAGAGAGGUAGUGCGGCUCAUGAUAGACGCCGCUCAGCUCCCUGGCCCACAGCUCCCCGAGGCUGGUGCCCUUGAAGGGCAGCUUCCCGGUGACCAUGUACUAGAGGACCACCCCCAGGCUCCAGAUGUCCGCCUCGCGGCCACUGUACUCCUUGUGACGGAGAAUCUCAGGGGCCACGAACUGCGGCUGCCACAGGGGGUCUUGAGCAGGGCUGCCUCAGAGAACUAGGCACUGAGCCCGAAGUCUGCCAGUUUUAUAGUUCGGUGCUGGUCCAGGAGCAGGUUCUCCGGCUUCAGGUCCUGGUGCACAACACCCCUGGCGUGGCAGUGGCUGAGCGCUGCCAAGAUCUGCUGGAAGAGGCGGUGCACCUCCAUAUCCCCCAGGCUCCCGCACUUCAACAGGCAGUCCUGCAGGUUGCCCUCCUGCACGCGCUCCAGGACCAGCAGUACCUCAUCCUCAGUGUACAAUACCUGGAAGAGCUGGAGAACGUUCGGUGCCGAAGGACUUUCAUGCAGGCCACCUCGCGGGCCAGGAACCUCUGAGGCAUGCCAGACAUGGGGAUGACCUUUAUGGCCACCUCCAUGCCCAUUGACAGGUGCUGCACCAGCCUGACCUUGGCAUGGGCACCCUCCCCCAGCUUGCGGAGCAUCACUUACUUUCUCAGGGCCAUUCCCUUGGCAGACGGGCGCAUCUGGGCAGUGAAGGCGGACCCGCUCCUAAGCUGGCAGGCCCUGGCUGGCUAGAGCCCUCGGCACUAGCUCCGCUACCUGAUUAACAAGUGCACUAUUAGCCUAGAGCUAGUAGUACGUGAAAAGGAUCCCAAAACUAGCUAAAUGCUACCCGCGCUGACUACUCUACCGAAACAAUAAUGACACUAACUUACCUCUACCAGAAACACUAACUAUGCUAACCUAACUAGGAUACUAAUACUAACUAACUAUGCACUCAAAAAUGAAAACACAACCAAAAAAUUAACAAAGAUAAAUAUUUAAAAAUAUAUAAAAGAA